AUACUUAUUUGGCAGGGAAGAUAUUAUGAUCACUAAGGUGGUUUCCCUGGGGCAAGACUCGUCCAUUGCACCUGAAUAUGCUGAAAUCUGCAAUAUCUCAAAAUGUGGGAAACCUGACCACAAAAUUUGUGGUAGUAGGGGACUGUGUUUUUGCUCUCCCCAU